rnacentral:rRNA from 1 species
UGUAGUCUGCAACUCGACUACAUGAAGCUGGAAUCGCUAGUAAUCGCGAAUCAGCAUGUCGCGGUGAAUACGUUCCCGGGUCUUGUACACACCGCCCGUCACACCAUGGGAGUCGGUAACGCCCGAAGUCAGUGACCCAACCGAGAGGAGGGAGCUGCCGAAGGCGGGACUGGUAACUGGGGUGAAGUCGUAACAAGGUAGC